GUCCUUUGAAUAGCUGACUGAUUUCACACACAACAACCUGCCUCUCCUCUCAACUCUGAAGCUUUUAUUCUUAAACCAGUGCUUGUCUUUUUUUAUUUUCUCUUUGGUAUCCACAUCCGUACACAGAGCAGUAUGUCUUGGAUGUGAGGGAUCAUCCGUUUGAGAAGGGCACCACAUCCCAUGUGGAGGCAGCAGGGGAGCAAACUUCCAAAGAAACCCUAAUGAAGGGAUUUGCGCCGUAGAGCCUCAAAAUAUAUUCAUUUGGACAGCAGCUUCCAAGAAGCAGUUACUGUAAGAGGGAGGCUGCUGGAGCAGCGAGGACUGACUGAUGGGAAUUCUGCAGAACCAAAACCUGACCCAGCCAGAGGUCACCCACUGGGAGUCAACCCCCACCCAACUCCUCAGCUCAUUUAACAACACCAUAAUCGUGCUGGGCGUGUUGACCUUUGCUCUGCAGCUGUGUUUAGCUCUGGUCUUCAUGCUGAGAUGUUGGAGAUUUGACAACAGAGUACAAGAGGCUCUCAAACACCCAGAGACUGUUGGCAAACUCAAGGCCCCCUCAUCCUUCCACAAAGACAUAUACAAACAGACCAGCUUUCAGCUAUGUGGUGUAAGCGCUACCACACCAUCACCAGUCGUGACAGAAGCACCUGAAGAAUAUGAACCCACCAAACACCAUCUGUUUGCACCUUCUAUACCCUGGGACCUUGUUCAGCACUAGUUCUCGAUGAUUAUAGUGAAUGCAUCCUUGUAAAAUAUACAUGAAAUGUGAUACUAUGUGUCAUUUUUUAAAAGCUGCAAUGUGUAAGAAAUGGAAGAAUUUAAAUUUAAAAAAUGAAUGAAAAUAUGAACAAUUACUAAUGUGUGUAACUUGGAAAGUGUUCAUGGUGACAAGACAGAAAAUGUUAUUCCACUGCAGAACAUUCCCUCAAUUCUAAGCUGCGUUUUAGCAUCUUGCAGCUUAUUUAUUUCGUUUUUUAUAGCCUGCAAGUUAACUGUUUUGCUCCAUUCUCAGUGCUCUUAUCAGUUACACUUACAGUAGCAGAAGGCAGAAAUAAAGCUGUGAUAAAGUUUCAAUUGAGCUAAAAGAAAGUCCAAAAUUAA